AUGUGCCUCCGCGCUCUUGUUGGAAACCAAGUAAUGCUGUUGCUGGUGGACUCCGGCAGCACACACACAUUCGUCAAUGCUGCAUUCGCUGCCCGGGCAGGCUGUGUUGUGCAAGCGGCAGAGCUGGUCACUGUGUGUGUGGCCAAUGGCGACACUCUCCAAUCUACACAGCAGGUAUCCCAACUGAAUUGGUGGUGCCAGGGACACACAUUCAGCACUGACAUGCGUCUGCUCGAGCUAGGUGCCUACGAUGCGGUCCUCGGAGUCGAUUGGCUAGCACAGUUCAGCCCUAUGAACUGUCAUUGGGGACUCAAGACCAUGGAAUUCCGUUAUGACAGUGUUAAUAUCAAGUUACAAGGUGUCCGCACUCCGAUCGAGCCUACACAGACAGAGAUGCGAGCGGAUCAGCUGUCCAAGUGGAUUCAGGGCAACGAGGUGUGGGCAUUGGCUGUCGUCCAUGCAGAUACCAAUUCUGCAGCAGCCACUGAGCAAGUGCCACCGCAAUUGCAAGUACUGUUGGAUGAAUAUGCAGACGUCUUCCAGGAACCCAAAACCUUGCCACCACAUCGCGACUUUGACCACGCGAUCCACCUGGAGCCAGGAACAUCACCACCAAAUGUCAGACCCUAUCGAUACUCUCCUCUCCAGAAGGACGAAAUUGAGCGUCAAGUCACGGAAAUGCUGCAAGCAGGCCUAAUCACAACGAGCAUCAGCCCAUUCGCCGCACCGGUCCUACUGCUCAAGAAAAUGGAUGGUACGUGGCGCUUUUGCGUAGACUACCGUUGUCUGAAUGAUAUCACCAUCAAGAACAAGUUUCCAUUGCCAGUCAUUGAUGAGCUCCUAGACGAGUUGGCGGGCGCUCGGUUUUUCUCCAAACUGGAUCUUCGUGCAGGAUAUCACCAGAUCCGGAUGCGCCCAGAAGACGAAGCCAAAACGGCUUUCAAAACACACCAUGGUCAUUUCCAAUUUCGCGUAAUGCCUUUCGGUGUGACGAACGGACCACCAACAUUUCAGUGCUUGAUCAACUCAGUCUUCGCGCCGGCAACAAGGAAAUUUGUCCUUGCCUUUCUAGAUGACAUUCUGACAUACAGUUCAUCAUUUGACGAGCAUUUACAGCAUCUUCCUCAGGUCUUCGAUACUCUGCAUCACCAUCAGUUACACGCAAAGCUCUCCAAAUGCUCAUUUGCCCAACCAUCCAUUAACUAG
rnacentral:rRNA from 1 species